AACGAACGCUGGCGGCAGGCUUAACACAUGCAAGUCGAGCGCCCCGCAAGGGGAGCGGCAGACGGGUGAGUAACGCGUGGGAAUAUGCCCUUCUCUACGGAAUAGCCUCGGGAAACUGGGAGUAAUACCGUAUACGCCCUACGGGGGAAAGAUUUAUCGGAGAAGGAUUAGCCCGCGUUGGAUUAGGUAGUUGGUGGGGUAAUGGCCUACCAAGCCUACGAUCCACAGCUGGUUUGAGAGGAUGAUCAGCCACACUGGGACUGAGACACGGCCCAGACUCCUACGGGAGGCAGCAGUGGUGAAUCUUAGACAGUGGGGGAAACCCUGAUCUAGCCAUGCCGCGUGAGUGAUGAAGGCCUUAGGGUUGUAAAGCUCUUUCAGCUGGGAAGAUAAUGACGGUACCAGCAGAAGAAGCCCCGGCUAACUCCGUGCCAGCCGCCGCCGUAACAC
rnacentral:rRNA from 1 species